rnacentral:rRNA from 1 species
CCUACGGGGGGCAGCAGUAGGGAAUCUUCCGCAAUGGACGAAAGUCUGACGGAGCAACGCCGCGUGAGCGAAGAAGGUCUUCGGAUCGUAAAGCUCUGUUGUUAGGGAAGAACAAGUACGGGAGGAAAUGACCGUACCUUGACGGUACCUGACGAGGAAGCCACGGCUAACUACGUGCCAGCAGCCGCGGUAAUACGUAGGUGGCAAGCGUUGUCCGGAAUUAUUGGGCGUAAAGCGCGCGCAGGCGGUCUUUUAAGUCUGAUGUGAAAUCUUGCGGCUCAACCGCAAGCGGUCAUUGGAAACUGGGGCGCUUGAGUGCAGCAGCGGUAAGCGCAUAUCCACGUGUCGCCGUGAAAUGCGUUGAGAUCAGGAUGUUCACCUGUGUGGAUGUGGGCUUGCUGAUGUCUAUCUGACGCUGCGGGGCGAGAGCGUGAUGAGCAAACAUGAUAAGAUUCCCGUGUAGCC